rnacentral:rRNA from 2 species
UACAGAGGUGGCAAGCGUUGUUCGGAAUUACUGGGCGUAAAGGGCGCGUAGGCGGCCCUCUAAGUCAGACGUGAAAUCCCCCGGCUUAACCUGGGAACUGCGUCUGAUACUGGAGGGCUUGAGUAUGGGAGAGGGAUGUAGAAUUCCAGGUGUAGCGGUGAAAUGCGUAGAUAUCUGGAGGAAUACCGGUGGCGAAGGCGGCAUCCUGGACCAUUACUGACGCUGAGGCGCGAAAGCUAGGGGAGCAAACGGG